CACGUAGGGUGCGAGCGUUGUCCGGAAUUAUUGGGCGUAAAGAGCUCGUAGGCGGUGUGUCGCGUCGGCCGUGAAAACCUGCAGCUUAACUGUGGGCUUGCGGUCGAUACGGGCAUCACUGGAGUUCGGCAGGGGAGACUGGAAUUCCAGGUGUAGCGGUGAAAUGCGUAGAUAUCUGGAGGAAUACCGGUGGCGAAGGCGGCAUCCUGGACCGAUAUUGACACUGAUGAGCGAAAGCUAGGGGAGCAAACGGG
rnacentral:rRNA from 1 species